rnacentral:rRNA from 1 species
AGGUUCGAUUCUGGCUCAGGAUGAACGCUAGCGGCAGGCUUAACACAUGCAAGUCGAGGGGCAGCGCGGGAGUAGCAAUACGACCUGGCGGCGACCGGCGGAAGGGUGCGUAACGCGUGAGCAACAUGCCCGUCACAGGGGGAUAACAGAUGGAAACGUCUCCUAAUACCCCGUAACAUCAUCUGCGGCAUCGCAGGUGGUUGAAAGUUUCGGCGGUGACGGAUUGGCUCGCGUGACAUUAGCUAGUUGGAGUGGUAACGGCACACCAAGGCGACGAUGUCUAGGGGUUCUGAGAGGAAGGUCCCCCACACUGGAACUGAGACACGGUCCAGACUCCUACGGGAGACAGCAGUGAGGAAUAUUGGUCAAUGGGCGGAAGCCUGAACCAGCCAUGCCGCCGUGAAGGAAUAAGGUCCUAUGGAUCGUAAACUUCUUUUGUACGGGAGCAAUAAGGGCCACGCGUGGUCCGAUGAGAGUACCGUACGAAUAAGCAUCGGCUAACUCCGUGCCAGCCGCUGC